ensembl:lncRNA
GGAGUAGCUUGAGGCAUUUGAAGCAGACUUCCUAUAUUGCUUUUAGCAGUAAGGAGAUGUUGAUUUAUAGCUAUAUGAUACAGUGCAUAUGGUUCUUCAAUUGUUAAAAAAGUAGUUUCAGUUUGCAUAUGGCAUCCAGAUUAAACUAUUAUCAGUCAAUAGGAGUCUCUCUUCAUACUAUUCAAUAACUCCUACUCCUCCUUUCAGUCUUCUUCUGUCUCUCACUUAUUUAUUGUCCUUUUGUUCAGCACAGCAGCAGGCGGGAGAAAGGAGUCAGAAAAUUUCAGAGAAGCAGCCCAGCAGACACCACAGUCAGUGUAUGAGGACAGGAAGUACUCCAGGCACUGCAAAGUUCCCUUGCAGCCCAGGAGAGGCCCAUGGUGUAGCAGGCUGUUCCCUUGCAGCCCAUGAAGCAUCAUAUCAGAGCAGAUAUCCUCACUGUAGCCUGAGGAAGAGCCCAUGCUGAAGUAGGUGGAUAUGGCCUGAAGGAAGGUACUAUUCGUGGAGAGCCCCUACAGAAGAAGACAAUGGGCUGGAGCUGCAUCCCAUGGAAAGAUGUCCACAGUGGAGCAGGAGGUCUGGGAUCCAUGCUGGAGCUGUCCGUUCCUGAGGGAUGGAUCCUACAGUGCAGUUCUUAAAAAACUGCAGCCUGUGGGAUGCUCAUCACAGUUUGGGAAGAGCUGCAACUCAUGGGAGGGACCGUACUCUGGAAUGGGGGAAGAGAAGUAGCAAUAAAGAAGAAAUGUUAUGCACUGACUGUGAAUCUGUACUUGAUGAUCCUCGUGGGUCCUUUCCAACUCAGAAUGUUCUAUUACUGUACACAAUAAAUGCAAACUGGAAGAAGGAAGAAUAAGGGAAAAAGAAAUUUUAUUUCCAAACCAUUUGUGACUCCAGCCUUCCUUAAAUUCUACAGUGUUUCCUCAUUUCUAGACUGGAGAUAGAGAAAAUAAGAUGAUGAGAUCCAAAAUAUGUGAAUAGCUAUUGUUUUUAUCUCAGUGAGUCUUAUGACCUUGUGUGAAAUAAUAAUAAUAAUAAUAAUAUAAAGCAAACAAAGAAAUUAAAAGAGCAGCAGCAGCUACAAAAAGAAAAUACAAAACAAAACAAUAAAGUUUCUAUAAUGAUGGGCCAAAUAAGUAUAAAGGAAUAUAGAAUAUAUAGGAUAUCACUGGCCUUCUGGGACACAAGGGCACACAACUGUCUCAUGGUCAACCUCUUAUCCACCAAGACACCUAGGUCCUCCUCUGCAGAGCUCCUUUCCAGCAGAUCAGCUCCUAACCUGUAUUGGUGCAUAUGGUGAAUCCUCCCCAGAUGUAGAACCCUACAUAUGCCCUUAUUGAACUUCAUGAACUUCCUUUCCACCCAGCUCUGCAGUCCAUCCAGGUCUUAUUGAAUGACAGCACAGCUUUCUGGUGUACCAUCAGCAAACUUACUGAGGGUGCACUCUGUCUCUUCAUCAAGGUUAUUGAUGAGUAUGUUGAAUAUGACCAGUCCCAAUAUCAAAUCCCUGGGGAACUCCACUGGCUACAGUCCUCCAACUAGACUGCGUGCCACUGAUCAAAACCCUCUUAGCUCUCCUGUUCAGUCAGUUCUCAGUCCACCCCACUGUCUACUCAUCUAUCCCACACUUCCUAAGCUUACUAAUAAUAAAUCCUGCUACAUAUAUUUAUACUUCUUUUUUUUUCAAAGAAGAAUAAUUGUGGGGCUAAAAAUAGGGAUUUAUUGCUGCAUUUGUUGCCAGUUUUUUGUUUUGUUUUGUUUUGUUUUUGUAUCAGCUGUGCUCCCUCAAUUUAGUGUCAUCUCUAAAUUUGAUCUCAGCAAGCGUCAUACUAUCUGAAGAGUCCAAGCUUAUUUCUUUUACUAUCCCAGCAAGCCUUGUAACCUUGCACAUCUUCAUACUACGUUGUUCCAUUUAAUAUAACCUUCACAUCAAGGCAGGGAAAAAAAAAAAAAAACAAAGAAAAAAAAAAAAACAAUCAAAUAAAUAUAAAAGUCUUCUGCCCUUAGAGAGGGCUUAUGAGAUCAAAUCAGCUCGGGAAAGACUUGGACCAUUAUGUAUUUGGAUUCAGGUGAAGAAUUUUGGUGAUUACCUGUAGCAACUUGAUAAGACUAUGGUGCUCUUGAAGGGCUAAGGUGUAUUUUGAAGAAAUGUCACACUAUAAGAAUUACUUCAACUGGUCUGCUUUAAAAGCCAUUAUGCAAAAUGUCAGUGUCACCUAAAUAGCUGUCUCAGUCUCAGCACAAUUUCCUUCCAAGUAUUAUGAUCUUUUAUUGAGGCUAGAAGUCUCUCUGAGUUCAUAGUUUAAGAAUCAACCUACAAUUACAGCUGAAUAUUAGGAGCUAACAAAAAUGCUAUAUAAGUGGAGUAGGUUAGCAUGUGUUUGCAUCUCAGACUGAAGUACAUAUUGCAUACUUUUUUUGUCACUGACUUGUUUUUGAUUAAAUGGUGGUAUCUGUAUAUUUUCAGUAGUCUUUUGGGUCCUAAGUUCACCAGUGCAAAUCCCACUACAGUAAAAUGGGUGGGGAUUAAGUAACAAAAAGGCAUUAGAAUACAGAGUUCAUCCUCAAAAAGAGUACAGUAGUGGUGAUUGGAGUUUCAUCGUUUGUAGUUUUGCAUCUGAUUUAUUGUUUCUGCAUAUUUUCUGACAUAUUCUGAUUACUUGCACUUUGUUCAUUGAUAGCCACCAAACUAUCUUUGCACAUGAGCUACUAGUUAAAAUUAUGCAGUAGUCUCUUCACAUCCCAGAAGACUAAUACUUGCUACUCAGCUACUACAUAUUUCAGACCUGUGUUAUACGUAAUAUUCACAGAUAAGCUCCGACAUACAUGAGGCAGCAGUCAUGCUGGUGUAGCUAAAGAAAACUAAAAUCAGCUCAGGUCAAAGCAAGAUAAGUCUUCAGACAGUACACUGCCAGGUCAAUAUGUAGCUUGUGGCUUUUUACUAGUAAUGGAAAAAUCAUGCUUUUUUUUCAAAUUAAAUUUAUUUAAAUAUCUGCAUGUUGAAAUACAUCAGUCAGAAGUCUAGAUUUUUUGUUCUCAUUGAAAUCAGCUGUUGGAAUUUGUAUCAUAUUAUUCUAGUCAUACUUUUCUGAAAUAAAAAUGAUGAAUCAACAUUCCAAUAAACUAAUAACAGAGAAAUUACUUUAAACAAUAUGGCAGUUUUUUGGUGGUGGUGGUGGUGGUGUUCGUUUGUUUGUUUUGUUUUAUUUUCUUUUGUUUUCUAAUCCAUCCAUAGAGACAUCCAAGGUCAGGCUGGACAGGGCUCUGAGCAACCUUUUCCAGCUGUCGAUGUCCCUCUUCGCUGCAAGGGAAUUGACCUAGAUUACCUUUGGGAGUCCUUUCCACUCAAACUUAUAAUAAUGCUAUGAUUCAGUGAUUAUAAAUAACUAACAAACCUAGCCAGAACUCCUCACACUAAACAACAUAAUGUUAGAGGGAAUGAUAGAAAACUGUAAUUGAUAUUUAACAAAAAGAAACAACCAAAUGAACAGAAGAACCAAAUGAGUUAUUCUGUUGUGAAGAAUCUACUAUGAAACAGACCCUAACAAAUACUUCCAAUUUCUGCCCUCUUUAAGCCUAAAUAAAUAAAUAAAUAAAUUCCACUAUUAAAAAUAUCCCACUUAAAAAAAAAAAAAAAAUCCACUAUAGAGAUGAAAACAGAUAAGUUUUUUUUCUAACAAUACAGAAAAAUUAAAUGCUUGUACUAUCAUUUUUACCCAUGGUGAAAUACUGCAUACAAAAUUGGUGGGUGAAACAUUAAUGGAAGUAUGUUAAUACUUACAUACUUGAGAAAAGUAGUAUUAAAUCAGUAUUCAAAUGGUAUUUCAUUUUAAUUAGUGUCUCCUUGUCAAACAUUAUAUGUAUUUUUUUAGAGGAAGUUUUUCAUUCAGAGGGUGGUGAUACGCUGGAACAGGUUGCCCAAGGAGGUUGUGGAUGCCCCAACCCUGGAGGCAUUCAAAGCCAGGCUGGAUGUGGCUCCGGGCAGCCUGGUCUAGUGGUUGGCAACCCUGCCCACAGCACAGGGGUUGAAAAUAGAUGAUCUUUGAGGUCCUUUUCAGCCCAGGCCAUUCUCUGAUUCUAUUAUUCUACUCUAUGAUUCAGUAUAUUCAGAAAUUGACUCUGUUCUUUGAAAUUUAUUUAGCAAUUUAUAAAAUCAGACUAUUUUUAGAAGUAUCUUCAUAACAGUUGCUUUAUUAACUUGCUAUUUAAAAAUGGAUUUCAGUUAUUCUAACAAGAUUUUACUUUCACACUUCAGAGCAUGGAAACUUCAAGGAUGGAAUUAGAAAACUGCAAUAUUUCCCUAGUUUUGCACAGCUUUUCUUAGGCUUUUAAUUUGCUUGAUAAUAAUUCCUAAUAGACCACACAAAAACUCUAUUGGUAUGUUGUCAUUUUAUUUUCAUUCUUAAAGAUUAAGGUUUUUGUUUGCUUGUUUGUUUGUUUGCUUUGUUUCUAAGAAACUUUGGUCCUUAUUUAUGUAUUGUUCAUUUAUUCAUUUAUUUAGACUAGGGUUCAAAUGAUUAUGUUGUAACUUCGGAAAGUUCUUCAGAACUUUUAUAAUUUUCUUCAUUAACAUAGUCAUAAUUAAAUGGAUAAUUGAUUUGUGAGAAGUUAUAUUAACAGGAAAAAAGUCUUAUGUUUUUAAGAAGUUCAUAGCCACAUGUAGAAAAGAAGGAUACUUCCAUCAAUUGGGAUAGAAAAAGCUAAAACACGUGACUGCAGACUUCUGUCCUGUCCUGUGUUUCAUUUCUAAAGUUUGAAUAUCUGUCUGUUAUGUGUGUUGAUAUAAUGGAAAUAAUUAUUUAUACAAAUCUGAUUUUUUGGAGAGCUACAAAUUAUCAAAGUCCACAUCUAUCACUUUUUUUUCUUUUUUUUUUCUUUUUUUAUGUGGACUCUGAGGCCAUACUAGAAUACAAAAGUAAGUCUUUUUAAAGAUGAGAUAUUUCAAAGUAAGAAAUGCCAUACAAAAUAAAACCUUAAAAUUUGUUGGAUUCUGAGCUCACCACCUGCCUCUCCUCUGACAAUUACCAACUAGUAUAGACAAAGUUUGUUUUAUGCACUGUUUCACCUGUGUGGAAUCCAGAUAUAAAUUACUAAAAUUCACCAAACUUGAGUAAUAUAAGUAGUAGGGAAAAUAUAGACAAACUGAUGAAUAGGGUAGGGAAUCUGGUAACAAAUGGCAUACAAUACAAGGAAGAAUUGCCUUUUUUUUUUUUUUUUUUUUUUUUUUUUUAGGGGAGUGUAAGGUUAAGAGAGUACUUAAAGAAACUGAUAGUUUGCAACCAUGAAUUCUGAGGAAGGUUGUUGAUAUUACUGCAAGAUAACUCUUGGUUAUCUUUGAAAGACUGUAGUAAUGGGGAGAAUAUCCUGAACAAUCUCACCUCAGUCCCAUGGCCAGAGGUGGAUAACUAAUAGUGAAAAACAUUUCCAAACACACAAAGGACUGGAAGGAAGUCAGUGUUAAUUUAUGAAGGGCAGAUCAGGCUUACUCAUCCUGAUAACCCCAAGGGGAGAGCAGUGGCUGUUGUUUAGUAACAUGAUUUUAGUAAGGCUUUAGCCACAGUUUCCCACAACAUCCACAUAUAUAUGUUAGACAAAUAGCUACCAAUUUCAGGCAGACUAAAAACCAGUUGAAUAGGCUAGGCCCAGAGGAUUGCAAUCAGUGACACAAAGUCCAUGUGGAGGUCUGUCAUUAGUGAUUAAUACUGAGGUGAGUGCUUUACAGACUCUUCACUUCUGACCUAGGCAAUGGAAUGGGCUACCUCAGCAGAUUUUGAGAUUACAAACAUCUGUGAGGAGUGGUGGAUGCACUACAUGGUUUUGCUACCAUUCUGAGGGAACUCCUCUUGGGACUGAUCAGCUUGAAAACAGCACAGCAGAGAGAGACAUGGAGGUCCUGGUGCAAUACCUGUUAUGUGGCAGCCAUACCACCUUGGGACAAAGAAGAUAAUCGGUCUCUUGAGCUGCAUUAGAAGAAAAAAGCUGCUGUCAGGUUGAGGGGAGGUGAUCCUUUUUUUCCAAUACUCUGUCCUGGUGCAGCCACACCUGGAUCCAGGUCUGAAUUGACUGUCUUUUUUUCUUCAGUUGUGAUCUAUGAAAGUCAUACAAUGUAUGCCAGUAGUGACUGUGUAUUGCUUAUAGAUGAAGUAAAGCAUCUGAAUACUAUAAAGUUUGAUAUCUAAAAACUGUACUGAUUAAAUAAUGUAUAGCACUGUGUUGGUGCUGCUAAAUGAAUAAACAUUGCAUGGCUAGCCCUGUUUUAAUGCCAACAAAUGAAUAAUGUUAAAAUUGUGAUUACAACAUGAUAUUAAUUAUAUGACGCAUAUUCUGAAUACUUGCAAUGGAUGAAUAAAUAAAAUUGUUAAAAAAAAAAAAAAAGAAGUUCAAACUUUAAUCUUCUCCAGACUUUCAAAAGACCCUUUUUCACCUGUAAUCUCUCUUUUCAUCC